AGAUUGAACGCUGGCGGUAUGCUUAACACAUGCAAGUCGAACGGAAACGAAACUAGCUUGCUAGUAGGCGUCGAGUGGCGGACGGGUGAGUAACGCGUAGGAAUCUACCUGAUAGUGGGGGAUAGCCCGAAGAAAUUCGGAUUAAUACCGCAUAAUCUAUUCGUAGUAAAGUGAGGGACUUUCGAGCCUCACGCUAUCGGAUGAGCCUGCGUAAGAUUAGCUUGUUGGUAGGGUAAAAGCCUACCAAGGCAACGAUCUUUAGCUGGUCUGAGAGGAUGAUCAGCCACAUCGGGACUGAGACACGGCCCGAACUCCUACGGGAGGCAGCAGUGGGGAAUAUUGGACAAUGGGGGCAACCCUGAUCCAGCAAUACCGCGUGUGUGAAGAAGGCCUGAGGGUUGUAAAGCACUUUCAAUUGUGAAGAAAAGUUAACGGUUAAUAACCGUUGACCUUGACGUUAACUUUAGAAGAAGCACCGGCUAACUCCGUGCCAGCAGCCGCGGUAAUACGGAGGGUGCAAGCGUUAAUCGGAAUUACUGGGCGUAAAGCGUGCGUAGGCGGUUUAUUAAGUCAGAUGUGAAAGCCCCGGGCUUAACCUGGGAACUGCAUUUGAAACUGGUCAACUAGAGUAUGGUAGAGGAAAGUGGAAUUUCUGGUGUAGCGGUGAAAUGCGUAGAUAUCAGAAGGAACAUCAAUGGCGAAGGCAGCUUUCUGGACCAAUACUGACGCUGAGGUACGAAAGCGUGGGUAGCAAACAGGAUUAGAUACCCUGGUAGUCCACGCCGUAAACGAUGAUAACUAGCCGUUGGGGGGAUUUACCCNUUUAGUGGCGAAGCUAACGCGUUAAGUUAUCCGCCUGGGGAGUACGGCCGCAAGGCUAAAACUCAAAGGAAUUGACGGGGACCCGCANNAGCGGUGGAGCAUGUGGUUUAAUUCGAUGCAACGCGAAGAACCUUACCUGGUCUUGACAUCCUGCGAACUUUCUAGAAAUAGAUUGGUGCCUUCGGGAACGCAGUGACAGGUGCUGCAUGGCUGUCGUCAGCUCGUGUCGUGAGAUGUUGGGUUAAGUCCCGUAACGAGCGCAACCCCUAUCCUUAUUUGCCAGCACAUUAUGGUGGGAACUAUAAGGAGACUGCCGGUGAUAAACCGGAGGAAGGCGGGGACGACGUCAAGUCAUCAUGGCCCUUACGACCAGGGCUACACACGUGCUACAAUGGGAAGGACAAAGAGCCGCGAAGCCGCGAGGUGUAGCUAAUCUCAUAAAUCUUUUCGUAGUCCGGAUUGGAGUCUGCAACUCGACUCCAUGAAGUCGGAAUCGCUAGUAAUCGUAGAUCAGAAUGCUACGGUGAAUACGUUCCCGGGUCUUGUACAC
rnacentral:rRNA from 1 species